rnacentral:rRNA from 1 species
CAAUAGCGUAUAUUUAAGUUGCUGCAGUUAAAAAGCUCGUAGUUGGAUUUCGGGUGGGAAUGGCCGGUCCGCCGUUUCGGUGUGCACUUGCUACGCCCACCUUGCUGCCGGGGACGUGCUCUUGAGUUCACGCUCGGGACACGGAGUCGGCGAGGUUACUUUGAGUAAAUUAGAGUGUUCAAAGCAGGCCUACGCUCUGAAUACAUUAGCAUGGAAUAACACGAUAGGACUCUGGCCUAUCUUGUUGGUCUGUAGGACCGGAGUAAUGAUUAAGAGGGACAGGCGGGGGCAUUCGUAUUUCAUUGUCAGAGGUGAAAUUCUUGGAUUUAUGAAAGACGAACUACUGCGAAAGCAUUUGCCAAGGAUGUUUUCAUUAA